GCUGGGCAUGGUAACCCAUGCCUGUAAUCCUAGCUACUCAGGAGGCUGAGGGAGGAGAAUUGCUUGAACCUGGGAGGCUGGGGUUGCAGUGAGCUGAGAUCAUGCCACUGCACCUCAACCUGGGUGACAGAGCAAAACUCCAUCUCAG
ensembl:misc_RNA Metazoa_SRP Metazoan signal recognition particle RNA